rnacentral:rRNA from 1 species
AUUGAACGCUAGCGGGAUGCUUUACACAUGCAAGUCGAACGAGUGGAGGACGGGUGAGUAAAAUAUCGGAACGAGCCCAGUAGCGGGGGAUAACUAAUCGAAAGAGUGGCUAAUACCGAAUACUAGUGGAGCGGCCGAUAUCGGAAUAGCGAGAUGGGGGGGUAAAGGCUCACAAAGGCAACGCUCCGGAGCUGGUUUGAGAGGACGACCAGCCACCACUGGACUGGGACACGGCCCAGACUCCUACGGCACGCAGCAGUGGGGAAUUUUGCCACAUGGGGGAAACCCUGAUCCAGCCAUCCCGCGUGUAUGAGAAGGCCUUCGGGUUGUAAAGUACUUUUGGCAGAGAAGCGGUAUCUGCAGAAUAAGCACCGGCUAACUACGUGCCAGCAGCCGCGGUAAUAC